rnacentral:lncRNA from 1 species
CACAAUCAACAGCAAAAGCUUAAAUGUAAAUGUGAGGUUUCCUUCAAUGUCAUUUCAUUUUGUAUGGAUAAAAUUGCAUAAUGAUUGUCUGGUAUGGGCGAACCCAGAGAAGAGGUGACACCUUAUGCAAUAGAUGUUACCUUUGCCUUUUUUUGCACUGUCCAUUUUUAUCUCAGCUAUCUGGUGUGGUUUUUGAGUGAGUUCAAAUUUAAUUUAGAUGAAUUUGCUUCAUAAUUGCUAUUUUUGCUUCAAAGUGCUAUUUCUUGGUGAAGAUCAAGCAACAAACAACAAAUCAUUUAUUAUGUUUAGUAAUAUAGAGAAGACUUUCCAUAAAAUUCUCAUCUUUGGUAGCUAUCUAUUCUUCAUUGUCAUUUUAUUAAUUAGUACCAGGUACUGCUCACCUGCAAUUCUCAUUUGCUUUUGAAGGAACACAAAUUUGUGUGUUAUCAGUUGUUUAAAAUUGAUUGAAUUUGGUAAAACACAGUUUGAAGCUUGGCUAAAAUAAAAGGAAAAAUUUUCUCAUUUCCCUUUGCUUCUGUUAAUGAUAAAUCAUCCUGCCCUUUUUUAUCAAGUAAACAUAAAUCAUUAUGCUUUUGCUGAUUAAUGGGACAUAUUAGCUUUAACAUGCUUUAUUCUUUCAUCCCUUGCACUCGAACCAGGCACUCCUAACAUGAUUAUGGCACUUGCUUCAAAUUAGGCAAAUAAUUAAAUGCAUUUGAAGUUGUCGCACAAGUUAGUCUAUAUCAUUCUUUUAUUGCAUCAUAAUAUUAUAUUUUGUACAUGCUAAUCUGUAGAAACAUACAAAGAAAUAAGUGGUGGUUGUAUACAGUAGUGAGUUAUUUCAAUUAAAACAGUAUAUUCUCUUUAUAGUUUAUGAUUAGACUGGUAUAAAAAAAAUUUAAUGUAGUAUUCUGAAGUAAGCAACAGCCAUGGGGAAAGUACCAAAUAGCAAUGAAAUGCUUCAUAAAAAAGGUACGUAAACAAAGCUCUAAUUUUAUUAUCAACUGACAAUAAUAUUUUCACACGCUAACAGAAGGAUAUUUACGUUAGAAUAUAAUGCUGAGCAAUAUCUCUUUCUCCAAAGAAAAUUUCUCCAUACAUUAGUAAGGGGCAUAAAUAAUUAAUUUCAAACAUAUGCAUUUCUAGAUUGCUAUGAGUCUUCUCGAAGCUCACAUAAUAAAUAUCUAACUAGCUGGGUAACUCCAAGGAAGAGGUUGUCUUUCCUGUAAAGUAUGAAGGAUAAUUGGAGAAAGAUGGUAUAUGAUGCUUGAUACUUCCGUGCUAAUAGAAUGAGACGGUAGCACAAUAAAUUUCUCCAUUAUAUGUUUAUGUUACAAGGGGGUCCAUAUCAGGAUAGUUUCACUAGCGAGGGUUGAAUAGAUCAUUCCAAGGGAGUGACUGAAAGAAACUUUAGAUGUUACUUAUGACACACACCCACACGCACUUUUACUCUCCUUUUUAGGUCUUCUAUUCGGUUCCUACUUUUUGUUGUUUAUCUUCUAACUCUAAUCAUCCUAAAGCAUUUGCAGUGGCAGGUAAUUUGAGAGUUCAAAAGGAAAAUGAUUUGAGAUGUUCGAAGAUGGACUUCCAUCAAUUUCUCAGGUGCAAUGAUCAGAAAAGUUUUGUUACCUUAACAAUUUUCCAAUACUCUUUGCUGAAUACCUUAGCUAGACUCAAAUCAAACUAUCCAACCCAAGAGGUGCUACCAACAACUAGCUAGGAACUAGGAAGGAUGACGCGAAAGAAACAUAAGCCGUUUGGAACACUGUAAUUGUCUGCAUACUCUGUAUAUUCUGGACAAUCUUAAAGGAAUAACAACUGAUGGAUUGCGGAACCAUCAAUAUGAAAUUGUUGUAUGUUUCUCCAUCUAUUAUUUUGCUACGUUGUAUCUUUUGGAACUCAAAACAUGUAGCAGCACCUAUUUGGUGUUAAUUAAGCUUUGAUUACUUAUUGAAAAAAUGUGUUAAUUUGUGGUAGUGUUG